CCUUGACACUAUCUAGAGUCACCUCAGACUCUCCAGUAAAGGACUGCCCAGAUCAAAUUAGCCUGUGGGGGUGUCUUCGAGAGGUUCCUUGAUUGUUAGUUGAUAUAGGAGAGCUCGGACCACUGUGACUACCACCAUUCCUGGUCAGGUGGUCCUGACCUGUGUAAGAAAACCAGCUAAGCAUGAACCUACAAGCAAGGCAGCAGGCAGUUUGGUUUCUGCUGAACUCUGGCUAUGAGCGAGUUCCCAGGUUGAAGCUGACGAUGCAUUAAGUAACAAGUGGUCCCAACUUCGGUUCCUGCCUGGACUUCCUGCCCUGCCCUUCCUGGAUGAUGAUGGACUGUUCUGGAAGUGUAAGUCAGGAAAGUCCUGAUGCUGGGCUGAUGAGCCUGCCACUCCCUUAGCUCACCUCUGCCUGCAUCUCUUUCCCACUGAUGGUCUUCCUCUGGGGCAGCUGAAACCCUGCGUCCUGUCCCUGAGCUGCCUGGAGAG
rnacentral:lncRNA from 1 species